UAAUACGGAGGAUCCAAGCGUUAUCCGGAUUUAUUGGGUUUAAAGGGUGCGUAGGCGGACUCAUAAGUCAGUGGUGAAAGUUUGCAGCUUAACUGUAAAAUUGCCAUUGAAACUGUAGGUCUUGAGUGCAAGUGAGGUAAGCGGAAUGUGUUGUGUAGCGGUGAAAUGCUUAGAUAUGACACAGAACACCGAUUGCGAAGGCAGCUUACUAAUAUGUAACUGACGCUGAGGCACGAAAGCGUGGGGAUCAAACAGG
rnacentral:rRNA from 1 species